GGCUCUCUGUUUACAUAAAUAUAGGGAGUCGAGCCUGCCCAGUGAAUUUUUAAACGGCCGCGGUACUCUGACCGUGCAAAGGUAGCAUAAUCAUUUGCCUUAUAAUUGAAGGCUAGUAUGAAUGGUUUGACGAGAGCAACACUGUCUCCUUUUUAUUUUCAAGAACUUAACUUUUAGGUGAAGAGGCCUAAAUUUUAUUGAAGGACAAGAAGACCCUAUCGAGCUUAAAAGACAUUAUAGAAGUUUAUAUAUCUCUAAAUAAAUUUUCUAUUGAGCUUUUUAGUUGGGGCGACUAAGGAACAAAAAAAGCUUCUUGCUAAUAAUAGACAGUCAUGCUUAGAUCCGAUAAUAAUCGAUCAAAGAAAUUAGUUACCGUAGGGAUAACAGCAUAAUCUCUCUUGAGAGACCUAAUCGAAAGAGGGGGUUGUGACCUCGAUGUUGGACUAGAAUAUCCUAAAGAUGCAGAAGUCUUUGAAGGUCGGUCUGUUCGACCGUUAAAAUUCU
rnacentral:rRNA from 1 species